rnacentral:rRNA from 1 species
GACGAACGCUGGCGGCGUGCUUAACACAUGCAAGUCGAGCGAGUGAGUUCUUCGGAACGAUCUAGCGGCGGACGGGUGAGUAACACGUGGCAACCUGCCUCAUAGAGGGGAAUAGCCUCCCGAAAGGGAGAUUAAUACCGCAUAAAAUUAUCGAGUGGCAUCACAUGAUAAUCAAAGGAGUAAUCCGCUAUGAGAUGGGCCCGCGGUGCAUUAGCUAGUUGGUGAGGUAACGGCUCACCAAGGCGACGAUGCGUAGCCGACCUGAGAGGGUGAUCGGCCACAUUGGGACUGAGACACGGCCCAGACUCCUACGGGAGGCAGCAGUGGGGAAUAUUGGACAAUGGGGGCAACCCUGAUCCAGCAAUGCCGCGUGAGUGAUGAAGGUCUUCGGAUUGUAAAGCUCUGUCUUUGGGGACGAUAAUGACGGUACCCAAGGAGGAAGCCACGGCUAACUACGUGCCAGCCGCCGCGGUAA